CAGUAGCCACGGUAAAACGUAGGGUGCAAGCGUUAAUCGGAAUUACUGGGCGUAAAGCGUGCGCAGGCGGUUAUAUAAGACAGAUGUGAAAUCCCCGGGCUCAACCUGGGAACUGCAUUUGUGACUGUAUAGCUAGAGUACGGCAGAGGGGGAUGGAAUUCCGCGUGUAGCAGUGAAAUGCGUAGAUAUGCGGAGGAACACCGAUGGCGAAGGCAAUCCCCUGGGCCUGUACUGACGCUCAUGCACGAAAGCGUGGGGAGCAAACAGGAUUAGAUACCCGUGUAGUCCCUGUCUCUUAUAC
rnacentral:rRNA from 1 species